AUACCAAAGGUCACAACUUCCUACGAGCUUCAGCUAACUCAUGAGCCUUUACCACUUCAACACUAGUAAUCAACUAUUCAUUAUUCUACCUAGUUAUGAUGGCGAUUGCGGUUGAUGUCACUGGAAGAAUGACCAUUAUCCGGAAGGUUCCCACUCAUGGCCCAGCAGGGGGAGCUCUCUUUCUAAGGAGCCACUCUGCACUACCCGGGGGUAAGCCAAGGCCAUGUCUUGGUGGACAGGCGGGUCAUCCUGGGAGAUGGAAGUCUCCUUGGGAGGAAGGGAAAAGAAGAAACCAUUGACUAAGCUCCAAAUUAACGGUGUUAAUUUUUAAUACAAGAGCCUGGCUUUGCCUUAAAGAAUCCAAGGUCCUUGGCUGGAUAACUGUACGGCAUCCGAUCCCUUGCCAAGGUAAGCGGCAGUUCUCUGCAGUGGCCCAUAGAGGCUCCCAAGUAAAGGAGAUCUGAAAUAUCAGCAUGGCUGCCUUCCUUAGUUCUCCAUCCCCUGGCAGAAAUACUGGAGAGCAAGUCUCUCCCCUCCCUGGACCACCUUGUCUCCCUAAGUCCUUCGUCCUGACUCUGUACUUGGCUCUAAGGAGCUGCCUCAUUCUUGUCCUUUGGCAAUAUUCUCCCUGAUAUGAUGGGUGAGGGAAAAGGGACCUUCCUCCCUGACUGAGGCUUUAAAAAUCAGAGACUCAAGUCAACAUGGGAGAUAAACAGUAGUUCUUGUUACCCACCCAGGCUUCAUAGUCUGCCAGUGUAACCCAUUCUACCCCCUUUCUCUGCAUCAGGGUUUGGAAAAAAACAAUGAACAAUCCUUUGACCAUCUUUUGUCUUCUCUGGCCACCUUUAUAUUGAUGCUUAUUUUAGAUCAAGGUCUAGGGAAAGCUAACAGGCCAAAGGAAGUGUAUGGCCAUCUCUGAUAGGCCUAGCAAAAUUCCACUAAAAGGGAACAUGAAUUCAAGACCAGCCUGGGAUGUAUAUAGUGGUUUCAGAGCCAGGCUGGAUCAUAGAGUGAGAAUCUGUCUCAAAAGAAACACAGAUAUCAUUGUAACUCCUGUUAAAGACUGUGGUGANNNNNNNNNNNNNNNNNNNNNNNNNNNNNAUAUUUGAAUUCCAUUAGUAGCUGUAUGGGAAGGCUUAGGAAGUAUGGCCAUGCUAGAGGAAGUAUGUCAAUGGGGUAGACUUUGAAGUUUCAAAAGGCUUGUGCCCUUUCAAGUUAGCUCUCUCUACUUCCUGUUUGUCGGUUGAAAUGUAAGCUCUCAACUGUUGCUCCAGCACCAUGCUGCCUGCUGCCAUGAUCCCCACCAUGACGGCAUGGACUCUUAUAUCUUUAGAACCUAAGCCCAAAUAAAUCCUUCCUUCU
ensembl:processed_transcript Gm32816 predicted gene, 32816